UAGGGAAUCUUCGGCAAUGGACGAAAGUCUGACCGAGCAACGCCGCGUGAGUGAAGAAGGUUUUCGGAUCGUAAAACUCUGUUGUUAGAGAAGAACAAGGAUGAGAGUAGAAUGUUCAUCCCUUGACGGUAUCUAACCAGAAAGCCACGGCUAACUACGUGCCAGCAGCCGCGGUAAUACGUAGGUGGCAAGCGUUGUCCGGAUUUAUUGGGCGUAAAGCGAGCGCAGGCGGUUUCUUAAGUCUGAUGUGAAAGCCCCCGGCUCAACCGGGGAGGGUCAUUGGAAACUGGGAAACUUGAGUGCAGAAGAGGAGAGUGGAAUUCCAUGUGUAGCGGUGAAAUGCGUAGAUAUAUGGAGGAACACCAGUGGCGAAGGCGGCUCUCUGGUCCGUAACUGACGCUGAGGCUCGAAAGCGUGGGGAGCAAACAGG
rnacentral:rRNA from 1 species